GGAGGUCGUGGCUCAGGGCCAAAGCAUCUGCCUUGCAUGCAGAAUGUCCCAGGUUCAAUCCUGGGUAUCUCCA